UACAGAGGGUGCGAGCGUUGUCCGGAAUCACUGGGCGUAAAGGGCGCGUAGGCGGCCUGAUAAGUAGGGGGUGAAAUCCUGUGGCUUAACUGCAGGGCUGCCUCCUAGACUGUUAGGCUCGAGCACGGUAGAGGCAGAUGGAAUUCCCGGUGUAGCGGUGGAAUGCGUAGAGAUCGGGAAGAACAUCGGUGGCGAAGGCGGUCUGCUGGGCCGAUACUGACACUGAGGAGCGAAAGCGUGGGGAGCGAACAGG
rnacentral:rRNA from 1 species